rnacentral:rRNA from 1 species
UCCAUCCCGAACUCAGAAGUGAAACGAAACAGCGUCGAUGGUAGUGUGGGGUUUCCCCAUGUGAGAGUAGAACAUCGCCAGGC